UUUUAUCGGGGAAGAAUCAAUGACGGUACCCGAUGAAUAAGCCACGGCUAACUACGUGCCAGCAGCCGCGGUAAUACGUAGGUGGCAAGCGUUGUCCGGAUUUACUGGGCGUAAAGAGUAUGUAGGCGGAUACUUAAGUAGAAAGUGAAAGGCUCGAGCUUAACUCGGACACUGCUUUCUAUACUGGGUAUCUUGAGUGCCGGAGAGGAAAGCGGAACGACACGUGUAGCGGUGAAAUGCGUUGAUAUGUGUCGGAACACCAAUGGCGAAGGCAGCUUUCUGGACGGAGCCGCAAGGCUUAAAACUGACGCUGAGAUACGAAAGCGUGGGUAGCGAACAGGAUUAGAUACCCUGGUAGUCCACGCCCUAAACGAUGUUCACUAGGUGUUGGGGGGUAACCUCCGGUGCCGCAGCUAACGCAUUAAGUGAACCGCCUGGGGACUACGGCCGCAAGGUUGAAACUCAAAGGAAUUGGCGGGGGACCGCACAAGCGGUGGAGCAUGUGGCUUAAUUCGAUGCAACGCGAAGAACCUUACCAGGGCUUGACAUGUAGCUGCAAGCUCCCGAAACGGAGUCGCCUUCGAGGGUGCUACACAGGUGGUGCAUGGCUGUCGUCAGCU
rnacentral:rRNA from 1 species